rnacentral:rRNA from 1 species
UNAGCAUAUCAAUAAGCGGAGGAAAAGAAACCAACAGGGAUUGCCUCAGUAACGGCGAGUGAAGCGGCAACAGCUCAAAUUUGAAAUCUGACCCCUUCGGGGCCCGAGUUGUAAUUUGUAGAGGAUGCUUCGGGUGCGGCGCCGGUCUAAGUUCCUUGGAACAGGACGUCAUAGAGGGUGAGAAUCCCGUAUGCGACCGGCGGUCAACCCCAUGUGAAGCCCCUUCGACGAGUCGAGUUGUUUGGGAAUGCAGCUCAAAAUGGGUGGUAAAUUUCAUCUAAAGCUAAAUACCGGCCAGAGACCGAUAGCGCACAAGUAGAGUGAUCGAAAGAUGAAAAGCACUUUGGAAAGAGAGUCAAACAGUACGUGAAAUUGUUGAAAGGGAAGCGCUUGCAACCAGACCUGCCCCCGGGCGAUCAGCCGUUAUUUUUAGCGGUGCACUCGUCCGCGAUCAGGCCAGCAUCGGUUCGGGCGGCCGGAUAAAGGCCUCGGGAAUGUAGCUCCCCCCGGGGAGUCUUAUAGCCCGAGGUGCAAUGCGGCCAGCCCGGACCGAGGACCGCGCUUCGGCUAGGAUGCUGGCGUAAUGGUUGUAAGCGACCCGUCUUGAAACACGGACC